rnacentral:rRNA from 1 species
CGCGUAGGCGGACUUUCAAGUCAGGGGUGAAAUCCCGAGGCUCAACCUCGGAACUGCCUUUGAUACUGUAAGUCUUGAGUUCGAGAGAGGUGAGUGGAAUUCCUAGUGUAGAGGUGAAAUUCGUAGAUAUUAGGAAGAACACCAGUGGCGAAGGCGGCUCACUGGCUCGGUACUGACGCUGAGGUGCGAAAGCGUGGGGAGCAAACA